UACAGAGGGUGCAAGCGUUGUUCGGAAUUAUUGGGCGUAAAGGGUGCGUAGGCGGUGCGGUAAGUCUCUUGUGAAAUCUCCAGGCUCAACCUGGAGCCUGCAAGGGAAACUGCCGUGCUUGAGUGUGGGAGAGGUGAGUGGAAUUCCUGGUGUAGCGGUGAAAUGCGUAGAUAUCAGGAGGAACACCUGUGGCGAAAGCGGCUCACUGGACCAUAACUGACGCUGAUGCACGAAAGCUAGGGGAGCAAACAGG
rnacentral:rRNA from 1 species